UGGGGAAUUUUGGACAAUGGGGGAAACCCUGAUCCAGCCAUCCCGCGUGUGCGAUGAAGGCCUUCGGGUUGUAAAGCACUUUUGGCAGGAAAGAAACGUCGUGGGUUAAUACCCCGCGAAACUGACGGUACCUGCAGAAUAAGCACCGGCUAACUACGUGCCAGCAGCCGCGGUAAUACGUAGGGUGCAAGCGUUAAUCGGAAUUACUGGGCGUAAAGCGUGCGCAGGCGGUUCGGAAAGAAAGAUGUGAAAUCCCAGAGCUUAACUUUGGAACUGCAUUUUUAACUACCGGGCUAGAGUGUGUCAGAGGGAGGUGGAAUUCCGCGUGUAGCAGUGAAAUGCGUAGAUAUGCGGAGGAACACCGAUGGCGAAGGCAGCCUCCUGGGAUAACACUGACGCUCAUGCACGAAAGCGUGGGGGAGCAAACAGGAUUAGAUACCCUGGUAGUCCACGCCCUAAAANGAUGUCAACUAGCUGUUGGGGUCUUCGGACCUUGGUAGCGCAGCUAACGCGUGAAGUUGACCGCCUGGGGAGUACGGUCG
rnacentral:rRNA from 1 species